rnacentral:rRNA from 1 species
UACUGGCUCAGGAUGAACGCUAGCGGCAGGCUUAACACAUGCAAGUCGAGGGGCAUCGGGAGUAGCAAUACUGCCGGCGACCGGCGCAAGGGUGCGUAACGCGUGAGCAACAUGCCCGUAUCAGGGGGAUAAUCCAUGGAAACGUGGUCUAAUACCCCAUAGUAAUUAUGUAAGGCAUCUUAUAUAAUUUAAAGCUUUGGUGGAUACGGAUUGGCUCGCGUGACAUUAGCUGGAUGGUAAGGUAACGGCUUACCAUGGCUACGAUGUCUAGGGGUUCUGAGAGGAAGGUCCCCCACACUGGAACUGAGACACGGUCCAGACUCCUACGGGAGGCAGCAGUGAGGAAUAUUGGACAAUGGAUGGAAAUCUGAUCCAGCCAUGCCGCGUGCAAGGAAGACGGCCCUAUGGGUUGUAAACUGCUUUUGUAUGGGAGCAAUAAGGGCUACGUGUAGUCCGAUGAGAGUACCAUACGAAUAAGCACCGGCUAACUCCGUGCCAGCCGCCGC